rnacentral:rRNA from 1 species
UACAGAGGGUGCAAGCGUUGUUCGGAAUUAUUGGGCGUAAAGCGCGUGUAGGCGGCUAUGUAAGUCGGGUGUGAAAUCCCUCAGCUCAACUGAGGAAGUGCGCCCGAAACUGUGUGGCUUGAGUACCGGAGAGGAUGGCGGAAUUCCCCAAGUAGAGGUGAAAUUCGUAGAUAUGGGGAGGAACACCGGUGGCGAAGGCGGCCAUCUGGACGGUCACUGACGCUGAGACGCGAAAGCGUGGGUAGCAAACAGG